AGCUUUGCGCAGUGGCAGUAUCAUAGCCAAUGAGGUUUAUCCAAGGUGCGAUUAUUGCUAAUUGAGAAUUCUACAGUAAAUGAUGGCAAUGUUGAGGCAGCUCAGACUUUAGACGUACAGAGUAUCUAGGGCAAUCCUCCCAAAAAACAUUUCAGUUAAGUUUAGUUAAGUUGCAGUACAC
rnacentral:snRNA from 1 species